GAUGAACGCUGGCGGCGUGCCUAAUACAUGCAAGUCGAGCGAACAGAUAAGGAGCUUGCUCCUUUGACGUUAGCGGCGGACGGGUGAGUAACACGUGGGUAACCUACCUAUAAGACUGGAAUAACUCCGGGAAACCGGGGCUAAUGCCGGAUAACAUGUUGAACCGCAUGGUUCUACAGUGAAAGGCGGCUUUGCUGUCACUUAUAGAUGGACCCGCGCCGUAUUAGCUAGUUGGUGAGGUAACGGCUCACCAAGGCAACGAUACGUAGCCGACCGGAGAGGGUGAUCGGCCACACUGGAACUGAGACACGGUCCAGACUCCUACGGGAGGCAGCAGUAGGGAAUCUUCCGCAAUGGGCGAAAGCCUGACGGAGCAACGCCGCGUGAGUGAUGAAGGUCUUCGGAUCGUAAAACUCUGUUAUUAGGGAAGAACAAAUGCGUAAGUAACUGUGCGCGUCUUGACGGUACCUAAUCAGAAAGCCACGGCUAACUACGUG
rnacentral:rRNA from 1 species